rnacentral:tRNA from 1 species
GGCUUGGUGGUCUAGUGGUAUGAUUCUCGCUUUGGGUGCGAGAGGUCCCGGGUUCAAUCCCCGGCCAAGCCC